rnacentral:rRNA from 1 species
AGAGUUUGAUCAUGGCUCAGGACGAACGCUGGUGGCGUGCUUAACACAUGCAAGUCGAACGGUAAGGCCCUUCGGGGUACACGAGUGGCGAACGGGUGAGUAACACGUGGGUGAUCUGCCCUGCACUUCGGGAUAAGCCUGGGAAACUGGGUCUAAUACCGGAUAGGACUCCUGGCUUCAUGGUUGGGGGUGUAAAGCUUUUGCGGUGUGGGAUGGGCCCGCGGCCUAUCAGCUUGUUGGUGGGGUAAUGGCCUACCAAGGCGACGACGGGUAGCCGGCCUGAGAGGGUGACCGGCCACACUGGGACUGAGAUACGGCCCAGACUCCUACGGGAGGCAGCAGUGGGGAAUAUUGCACAAUGGCGCAAGCCUGAUGCAGCGACGCCGCGUGAGGGAUGACGGCCUUCGGGUUGUAAACCUCUUUCAAUAGGGACGAAGCGCAAGUGACGGUACCUAUAGAAGAAGGACCGGCCAACUACGUG